GAACCUCACGUUGCUGUAACGUUUUAUAAAGGUGUUUUGACACUGAAUUUAAGUUGUAAUUAUGCUGUGGGUUAUGAUCCAUGCUGUUGUGGUAUUGACAAAAACAUUGUGAUUACGAUUUACUAAAUGUGAAGUGAACAUAAUGUUUUAAUUAAUGAUGUUUUAUUUGAUAAUAAUUAAUAUUUGGGUGCCGCCUUGCAUUAAUAAUGUAACUCAUGAAAUUUUGAACAUCAUCAUGUUUGUUUUGUCGUAGUAGGAAUAUAAUGUUUUCAUAUAUUUUUCUAAUGGUCUAAGAUGGAUGAGAUCGUGGUCAAAGCGCGACUGUUUCCCGCUCAUAUUCAUUGUUGUAUACUCAAUGUAUAUAUUUAUUGCACACACCAACGUAACUUGAAAUAUGAUUCCUGUUCUCAAAGAAAAUAUUACCAUGGCGCAUGCGCGUCAGCAGAAAUUCCACGUCCAGACCGCGUGAUAGCUGAUUUGAAUCGCUCUGCUCAGUCGAGUCAGCGAUCUAGCAGCAGCAGCCCACUAGUAUAACGGUCGCCGACUCGCCGUCCAGUUGAUGUGAAUUAGCCAUGGUCACCAAGCAAGUUAUUUUCACUACAGCAUUUCUUAGAAGGUAGGCAGUACACAGGUUUGCUAUACGUGAGUGCACUGGCUGCUGGAUGUGGCAUGUUUUAACUUUUAACUUCAGCAGUCUUCGAGGGAAGAAGUUUCUAAUUAUUUUGAAGACCAACCCAUACAUCUCUUCAAGGUUGUUGCUGGGCCUGCAUGACAACUCGUCGAGUAGCGGAGGCCAAGGCGAGGGGAGGACAUAGCUUCAUUCUGGAAGUUUGCCCCACUAACAAGCCCGGAGGGACAAGAUUCAGGAAUCCUGCCAACCCUGCCAACGCUGUUCAGCCCGCUGACCCUGUCGACCCUGCAAACCCUGCAGAUGAUGAAUAACGACACUGCAUCUUUUGCGUGAAAAUAAGUGCAUCGUUCGUGCUCUUCAAAAUUUGUUUUCUUGUAGGCCUAUUAGGGAUUCCCUAUUUAUCUCCGUAGUUAUUUGCCCUUAUAUGAAGCCUAGUCGGUCAGUCAAAAAGCAAUAACAAUCUGAACUAAAGUUGCACUCGUAAAGAUGGUAAACUAAAUGAUGCAAUAAGUUUAUCAUGAUUUGAUAUCACUGAAUACAAUUUAAAAAAAAACAUUUUGGCCAAUUAUAGACGACUUACAGUAAUGUCUGGACGAAGCAUCUCAUUAACAAUUUAGUUGUAGGGGCAGCAAUAUUAUAAUGAGAGGCAAAAUUCUCUCAUCUGUCUUUCUUCCUCUGAUUUCCGUAAGCCGUAAUUUUCAAGUCGAGAAAAAAAUAUGAUAUUCAAUUUAAAUAACAUUUCAGAAUAACACAGAGCUAGUUGCUCGAAUGCAAUAUUCUUUGUUU